rnacentral:misc_RNA from 1 species
GAUGAAGAACGUAGCGAAAUGCGAUAAGUAAUGUGAAUUGCGGAAUUCAGUGAAUCAUCGAAUCUUUGAACGCACAUUGCGCCCGCCAGCAUUCUGGCGGGCAUGCCUGUUCGAGCGUCAUUUCAACCCUCGAGCCCCCCCGGGGGCCUCGGUGUUGGGGGACGGCACACCAGCCGCCCCCGAAAUGCAGUGGCGACCCCGCCGCAGCCUCCCCUGCGUAGUAGCACACACCUCGCACCGGAGCGCGGAGGCGGUCACGCCGUAAAACGCCCAACUUUCUUAGAGUUGACCUCGGAUCAGGUAGGAAUACCCGCUGAACUUAAGCAUAUCAAUAAGCGGAGGA